rnacentral:misc_RNA from 1 species
GUCUUUUCCUUCAUCGCUCCUGAUGUUAUUUUGGAGAUCGAUUUUUGAUCUAUAAUAGUUGCUUGCAUUGGGAAUCCUUACGUGGGUGGUAUUAAUUUUUGUGGAUGCCUNGUGGAUAAGCCUCUAUGCCUGCCUCCAAGGCAUGGAGGCNGCCCUCUGAGAAUGAGACCCUUCCACCCUUUGCUUCGGGNGAUGUUGCAUGAUAUUCUCGUUUUGUUGGGUGGUGGGAUGAGGGUCUCRGUAUAUUGUCGCAAAUGUGGCUCUUCGAAAUUGGGUCUUGGUGUUAUGGCACCAUGCUCGAGUUGAUUUAUCCAAGCGAUAGUGCCUUUCGCCUCUGUGCGACUUUGGUUCUCUCCCCUCCUGCCAUAUGACAUGUAUGGUUGCAGAGGGG